GGCGGCCCGAGUGGUGAUCGUGAUUAUUGGGUCUAAAGGGUCCGUAGCCGGUUUGGUCAGUCCUCCGGGAAAUCUGACAGCUCAACUGUUAGGCUUUCGGGGGAUACUGCCAGACUUGGAACCGGGAGAGGUAAGAGGUACUACAGGGGUAGGAGUGAAAUCUUGUAAUCCCUGUGGGACCACCUGUGGCGAAGGCGUCUUACCAGAACGGGUUCGACGGUGAGGGACGAAAGCUGGGGGCACGAACC
rnacentral:rRNA from 1 species